GCUCCUCACCGGGACCCGAGCGGGCGCUGAGGGAAAGACAUGAGUCAUGGGGAUCAGUAAGCCUUAUAAGGCCACCCAGGAAAUGUAGCACAACACAUGGGAGUGCUGAGGUGGUGUUCCUGCAGUUCUUUCCUAUAGAGGUCACUUCAUAUUCCAUCUGAUGAGUAUUAGUUGAGUUUGGACAUAACUCGCACACAAAGUGCUGAAGCCUUGAGGGGGAAACCACAGUGUACGCCACUCAGCCACUGCUCUGAGUCACACACAGAUUUCUUCAGCCCCAUAUCUGCUCCCAUUGCUUAACUGUGAGCCCAGUCUGUGCUUCAGCCAGAAAUGUUGCUGUCUGAAGGACAAGCUUGCGCUAUGAUGAGGUGGUUUUUAGGCUAUCAGUCAUUGUACAGACACUUUCACAGAUACCUGCAUUUCCCUUUUUGUGAUGAGACAGCAAACGGCCAGGCAGCAGCUAAAUGACUAAACCACAGCUCUGAAAAGCAAACCCUCCAGGCUGCAGUAAAUCACGAACUCGGAAUGAGUCAGAAAUGUCAUACUGCUGUCCAGAGUUGAGAAGAGAUGUGACAAGAGUGACCUGUGAGGAAAGGCGGCAGUAGCUCAGUCUGGAAAAGGUAAAAUGGGUGAAACAGAACAUUGUGAAGAGGGAGGCACACACUGUAUUGAAAAGUGAUGUUGUGCCUGUGAGGUGAGGACUGCAUUGCAAGCCUUGAAGAUCCCUUUCAUGGAAGUUUACAGGUCUCUGCAGCACAGCAGAAAAUGUAGUACUGCCCUUGAGA